rnacentral:pre_miRNA from 1 species
UAUAAGUGCAGCCAUAAGUUUUCGUGCCCAACAUUUGACUAUCCGUCUUAUUUGAUAAUUUUAUGAAAAAAAUUUAAAAGUUAAGUCAUGCAUAAAGUCCUAUUUAUAUUUUAUCAUCUAAUAACAAUAAAAAUACUAAUUAUAAAAAUAUUUCAAAUAAGAUGAAUGGUCAAAGUUGGAAUUAAAACUUACAACUGUGCUUAUU